AACGAAUUCAACAAUUGAUGUUGUUGUUGUUGCGUAGUUUUGCUCUUGGACGAAGAGUGCGAUUUGGAAAGCGAUUCGAAGAUGUUUUUUGAUGGUAGAGAGUAUCGACCCCUGCCCCAUCCUCCUGGGGAGGGAUUGGAUGUGGAUGUGCGAAGAUUCGUCAGUCCACAAAAUUUGGAUUAUGUUAAGUUUCGAGGCAGAAAGUUGAAGAAAGGCCUCUCGAAGCAGUACGAACCCUCGACCGGUGCUUUCGAAGGUUUGGACGUUUUUGAAAAUAACAUCAAGCCUGCUUAUAGAAAAGCUGUGAUGAAGGUUCGACCAAUCUGUCAGACGGCCUGCCAACGUUUUAACAGUGAGAGAUUGGUCGAAGAUGUGGAGGAUGAAGGAGUGAACAAUAGAGAGAGCGUGAUUCCUCCACGAAGCACCAAAGAGAACGAAGACCCGGCAGAGCACGAAGAUUGCGUGCAAGAUAAUCCUGGCCAUUCCAGGGAUAGAAAUACAUUGAAGAAAGUCGGGUCGUUCUUUAAGAGCAUGUGGAAACCCGUUAAGAGAUCCGUGCAGAAGGUGUGUAAAAUGGCCAGAAGUGGAGAAUGCGAGUACGUUCGGUUCGAGUAAGGAUCUCUUUGCUUCCAUCUGUCAAAUUCGACAAUAAGAUCUGCUCUGUGAUUUGCUGGAUCUGGGCCGAGUUGGCUAAUUAUAUGGUUUUUUUCUGAAAAUCAUCGAUGACUUGAAUCUUUCUGCUGAUUUUGACAUCCCGAUUGCGUCAAUACCAAUUUCGAUUAUGACUUCCCAAUUUUGACUUUGUCCCUGCUGUGUCUCAUUAUUAUUGUCUUUUAGUGAAUUAUCAUUUUUCCAAAUUGGUCUACACGAAUUUGGACUCUCGAUUUCUGUCUACCUCACGAAUUUGGACUCUCCUGAAUUACGUCUACCUCGAAUUUGACUCCUGAAUCGCGUCUACACUCGAAUUUGGAUUCUUCCGGCUUUUGUUUGUGCUUAAAUUUCAUUUUCAAUUCGUGUCAUCCCUGGAACUUGGACUCUCCGGAAUUGUGUUUUUACUGGAAUUCGAAUUUUCUCAAAUUGUGUCCAUUGUUUGUGACGUCGUCUAAAUUGAAUGAAAGUCCGAUAAACGUGAAAAACACGAAAAGACAAAGUUUUGAUACACAAAACAGAAGAAAUCUUUCCUAAAUUCUUUGCGAAGAACGAAAGUUUGCAGAUAAAAAUUGCGUUAAACGAAACGCUUUACGAAACUGAUGGUGAAGUUUUAUGAUGAAAAUGCAUUUGGAGAAGUCAAAAAACCUGAGACAGUUGCGGAAUAAUUUGAUUCAAUUAAAGUCAUAGAAGAAGACAUUCUCUGCAAUACAUUGGUUUUGGUUCUGUUCUAGAACUUGUAAAUUUUCGUACGAAAAUAGUUUGU